UUGCAGGAUAAGUUACAGUAUAGCUGUUAAGUGCUGUUCUGUCGUUCCCCCUGCAAAUAACAAAAUGUUUCCUACUAUCCCUGUCCGUUCUGACCCCUUCAGCAGACAGGGACGCUUGGUCUCAAACAU